UACUUGUAAAACUUUUUUAUUUAUUUGUUAAUUUUAUUUAUUUUUUUAUUGUUUUUGUUAUCUUUUACUGUUUUGUCUGUUAAUUUCAAAAUCCAUCUUCUUUAAAAAUAUUUCUGUAAUAGAUAGAACACUUGGGAAAAGGGCCAUAAGGUAGCAUUCAAGCAGUAAGUUACAUUUUCAAAUUAAAUGUUUUUCAAAAUUGGGAUUUAUAUUUCAAUUUGAGUCCAAAAACGUUUUUUUAUUUUGUUGUCUUUCAAAUGAAAAUGUCUGGAACUUCAAUUUUACGUUGAUGUGUCAUGUUAAAUGCUUGUCCUGGUACCUAGGAGAUUUGCUAAGCUAUUGUGUGAUUGAAUACACAUUGGUGUAUUGUUUUACAGAAGGAUUCCGCCAUUUUACAUUAUAUUUACAUGUUUUAGUGGACAAUGUAUCUGUAAAACUGUAACAUAUUGGAGGGUUUGGUACAUUUUGUUUCAGUUUGCAUAUUCAGUAAAUAAUGUUUUGUUGUAAAAUUGUGAUUUUUCAAAAUAUGAACAUUUUCUUUGACUUGCAAACGAUCACUUUUGUAUUAUAUCCACUUGUGGUUUCAGUAAAUUUGUAAAGUAAACAUCUGGGUAACUAUACAGACAUGUACAUGAUUUUACGUAAUACUUAGUAAAACUAAAAUUACAAAAAAUGUACAUUAUUACAGUCCUUUAAUAUGUAAGGACAAGUAAGUGUGAUUACCAGGUAAAAUAGGUGGGAUGUUUUGCUAAACUAGGUAUAAGCUAUUUGUUAUCAAAGAUUAGCAGAAUGUCAGUGAUAGAUUUUUUGCAAAGUACAUUGUUUGCUAAGCAAGAAACUAAUCAAUUUGAUUAUGUAUCAAGCAAAGUUAUAUGGAACAGGAUCUUACACAUUCACAGACUCUGCUCUCGAUGAAAUGUGGAUGAAAUUGAAGGCUAACAGGUAGCUGUUUGAAUGGAGUUGGUCACAAACAAUGUCUGACAAAUCAAGUCUAACGUCUUUCCUUUGAAGUUUACAAAGAGCUUAUCCCUAGCCAAGCCAGUCAGUGUCGUUGAUUAUGCUACAAACGGAUUUUUUUAUGAAUGCAAAUUAUGUUUAUACAUGAUUUUCUUCUAGAAUUUUCUUGCCUACCAGGUUAUGAUUGUUAUCUUUUGUAAGUUGCCACAUACUUUUAGCAGUCAUGACUCUAAAGAUUGUAGCAUUGUUCCCAGCUUAAUUGAACUUUUAUAAUUUCAAUUAUAAUAGUCAUAUGAAAACUAAGAUAUUUUAAGAAUGAAGUCAUGCUAUGUAAAAAUUGUCAUAUUUACAGAUUGGUAAAUAUUGUUUCAUGUUUGCCUGUAAAUAUAUAUCUGUAUUUUUCCAGGUACUUAUUAACUUUCCAGCAUUCAUAUGUACACUGUACAUGUCGUGAAUAUUGUAUUUGUAAUUAUGAGGGUUCAACAGCUGUGAACUGCACAGUGGAUGCAUUUUUACGUUCAGUUCCAACAUUGAUCGAUGUAUAACAAAUUGACAUCAAAUGACAAUAAAUGUACAUUCUUCAAUAAUUAAACUGAACUUUUUUAGGUACGUAACUAGAUAUUCAGAAACAUUACCUUAAAGACAAUUAAGAUAGGUUUUGUAAUUUUUUAAUUAUUGCUUAAAAAAUCACAUUUUAAAAUUUGUUAAAUUAUUAACAGAAGAUGUUAACCAGACUUCAAACAACUGAUCCAUUGACUUGUCCUUUAGAGUGUAGAAUAUACUGGAUACUGAUAUAACAGACAUUUUCUCAUUUUUGUGUUAUUCCUAGAGAUCAUGAGCUACCAUUGUACGAACAUGGGACAGUUCCAUUAAGUAGGUGAGAUAUGAUUGAGGAGAAAAUGAUUUCAUUUGUUGCAGUUUUCUGAUGUUAGAAGUUAAGUCCACCUUUUUGUAUGAUAAAGAUCACUAUGUUUAUUAUUCAAAAUGUCCCAAUAAGCAUUGCUUUACUUUAAAAUGUUAUUGGUAUAUUUCAGCUGCUCUAAUCAUCUCUUUUUCUGAUGAAAAAAUGUCGGUUUGUAUGUUCUAUGCAGGCUUCGCUAUCAUUUGCAUGGAAAUUCAUUGUGAACAGCCCAUUUGAGUUAUUGGAAUGAUAUAUUGGAUCAUUCCAAUCUAAGAGAUGAUUCUUUUUUACUCAAUAAAACGUAACCAAAUCAGUUCACACACUUUUUGGAUAUUGUGUCGUUUCCUGAAAUGUUUUAUAAAAAAAAAGUAUGUUAUUGCAUCAUUUCCUUCAGGAAGGGAGACAAUUCCACUUCACUGUAUUGCAAGAGCUAACAAAUAGUAAAAAAUAUUGGUAGUCUAGUUAUAGAAAAGGGACCAAAGCUAAGAUGUGUUGAAACUUUUUACCCAAAUCCUGCACAAAGUAUAUAUAUUAUACCACUGUUGUAUUUUCCUGUCAAAGGGUUAAUUAUAUUUUGUACUUGUUUUAGUCAGUGUGGUGCAUUGAUAGCAGGGUCAACUUGAAACAGAAUUGGCUUCAACAGUAAAAUCAGUAACAUUUGUGUUAUUAUAAAUGUAACAGUGACAUAAGAUACCAGUUUCUAGGUUUUUUAGUAGAUGUAUGUGGUACAGCGAUUUCUAUUUUAAUACAUAAUAUGACUUUUUUUAGAGCUGCAAGAACAAAAGCAAGAUUACAAUGGUGUUGACCAAUACUUAAAGUCGCUUUGUAUAAAAAUACCUCUGUUUAUCAAUCAAAAUUUUUGACUGAGUUGAGGAAUAUGAAAAUUUGCGUUGGAACAGGUAUAAGCUCAUACCUCCCAGAUUUUGAACUAUGGAGACGGGUGUCUAUAACCUCCCUGAUUUUGAACUAUGGAGACGGGUGUCUAUAACCUCCCUGAUUUUGAACUAUGGAGACGGGUGUCUAUAACCUCCCUGAUUUUGAACUAUGGAGGCGGGUGUCUAUAACAUUCACAUACAUUUCAAUACAAGUUGCAAUAAAGGAAUAUUUUUCAUUUUUUUCCAUUGAGCAUCAAAAUGAAGUAUAAAUUGUGAAAUCCUGUUUAUCAUUAUCCCAAUGAGAGUUGCAGGGACAGGUGGAAUUUCCAUCGUCCAAUCACGGAAAGCUAGUUCACUAGUGAUGGAAUGAUAGUGUAAAAUACUGGAAAAGGACAUUAUGUAACUGUUGUUUUGGUAAAACGUCUGUAACUGUUAAUUUGGUUAAUUUUGAUUUUUGACAGCAAUUAGGUAAUUCCAUUGUCAUUGUUUCAAUUAAUUUGCAAUAAAAUUCCUGAAAAUUA